rnacentral:rRNA from 1 species
UCCACGUGUAGCAGUGAAAUGCGUAGAGAUGUGGAGGAACACCGAUGGCGAAGGCAGCCCCCUGGGAUAACACUGACGCUCAUGCACGAAAGCGUGGGGAGCAAACAGGAUUAGAUACCCUGGUAGUCCACGCCCUAAACGAUGUCAACUGGUUGUUGGAAGGGUAACCUUUUAGUAACGAAGCUAACGCGUGAAGUUGACCGCCUGGGGAGUACGGUCGCAAGAUUAAAACUCAAAGGAAUUGACGGGGACCCGCACAAGCGGUGGAUGAUGUGGUUUAAUUCGAUGCAACGCGAACAACCUUACCUACACUUGACAUGCCAGAAAUCCUGCAGAGAUGUGGGAGUGCCGCAAGGAAUCUGGGCACAGGUGCUGCAUGGCUGUCGUCAGCUCGUGUCGUGAGAUGUUGGGUUAAGUCCCGCAACGAGCGCAACCCUUGUCACUAGUUGCUACAUUUAGUUGGGCACUCUAGUGAGACUGCCGGUGACAAACCGGAGGAAGGUGGCGAUGACGUCAAGUCCUCAUGGCCCUUAUGUGUAGGGCUACACACGUCAUACGAUGGUCGGUACAGAGGGUUGCCAACCCGCGAGGGGGAGCUAAUCUCACAAAGCCGAUCGUAGUCCGGAUCGCAGUCUGCAACUCGACUGCGUGAAGUCGGAAUCGCUAGUAAUCGUGGAUCAGCAUGUCACGGUGAAUACGUUCCCGGGUCUUGUACACACCGCCCGUCACACCAUGGGAGUGGAAUCCGCCAGAAGUAGUUAGCCUAACCGCAAGGAGGGCGAUUACCACGGUAGGUUUCAUGACUGGGGUG